UAUAAACUAAAAAGUUGCCAAUUUAUUCUAAAGAAAUAUUGAAAUAGCACACAUACUACUAACACAAAGAUGUUAGUUUACUUAAAAAAUGGUUUGUGUACUACUAUGUUUACCACUAUUACAUUUAGAGUACACCAAAAAGUAUACAUUUAAAAAACUAAAAAGUGUACCAAAUUACUUACAAGAAGAAGUAGUGCAUUUAUAUUAGAAUAGUAUAUUUAGCACAUAAAGCUUACUUGAAAAAUAAAGUAUAUGUCAGAUGGGGAAAAUGUAAAGUGGGUUGAGGGAUAGUAUGGCUCCCUUGUAAUGGGUGUGUUUUAAUUUGAUUGCAGUGAGAUCUGGUGUGUAGUGUCAGUGUGUAAAGAUAUUGAGCACGUGUGAUGUGUGUGUUUAUAAUGCGCACGUGUGUUAAUGUUGUUUUGUUGGAAGCCUACUGUGGGUGUGUAAUGGACUACUACAGGUGAUCCCCAUUGACUAAAUAGCUGCCACACCUCUUGAUCAUUAUAAUCAUAAACUUAUAGCUCUAUAAAAGGAACGGAAACUUACGAUGUAGGAAAGAGUCCAGACGCUGAUCUACCUUUCCCACGAGGGUGCUCCUCGGCUGGCAAACAGUACGAUCGAUCGAUCGAAGAUACGAGUAAACAACGCACGCAAGUAUUCCUAUAAAGACAGAAAGCUGCCAAGCCACACUGGAGUCAGGCCGCCUGCUAGACAGCCCAAAGGAGUGGAAGGCGUCAUUCCCAUCCUGGACAGGAAAGUAGUUUUUCUGCACUCAUCCAGGAAUGAGAGUUUGAGCUCUGUUGCGGUUCUGUCUUUUAUUGAUUUGCCAUAUUAUUCCUUGUUUGGGUCGGAGGAGAUACGUUGCCGGUGGUGAAGACGUUUCCGGGAUUCCCCGCUCUAAUGUUGUCUGCAUUCGGCCACGCCUCCAGGGAACCCCUGUAUCUCGCGAUCGCCACACCCCCCCCUUCUCCUCCUCGGCGUGGGUUGACUUAACGGCCAGCUUGAAGAGCAAUUUGGAUAGCUGUUGUUUGGGAACAGAUUUUAUUACAUUUGUAGAAAAUUGUGUAUUUAUUUAUUGUGGGAAUUGUGUAUUAUAAGGAAUAAAUUGGGUUUUAAGGCUUCUAAAAUCUGUUUGGCUCUAGUUCCUGGGAUUUUGUUAGUGUGUAGAGGGGUACCUUCUGACAUAUACUCAAACGUUACUUAAAGGGAUAGUUCACUCAAAAAUGACAGUUGACGGUAGCUGUUGACUUCUAUAGAACCCCCCUCCCCCCAUACUAUGAAAGUCAAUGUCAACUGUUUGGUUGCCAACACAAAAAGUAUUUUG
rnacentral:lncRNA from 12 species